AGCUGUCAGCACAGAGCCCGACGCGGGGCUCGAACUCACGGACCGCGAGAUCAUGACCUGAGCCGAAGUCGGCCGCUCAACCGACUGAGCCACCCAGGCGCCCCAGGAGAGAAACCUUUUAAGUGUGAGUGUGGCAAGGGCUCCCCUCAGAGCUCCAACCUUUGCAUCCAUCAGAGAGUCCACACUGGAGAGAGACUCUACACAUGUGAUAAAUGUGGUAAGGGCUUCAGUCAGAACAUAGAUCGCCAAGUGCAUCAGAGAGUCCACACAAACGUGAAACUCUGAAAACACAGACAUAUGCUCAUCUGAAAGUCCACAGAGGAGAGAAACUCAACAAGUGUGUGUGGAAAAAUCCUGUGACAUGAAAUUAUGUGUCAAGCUCUGGACUGACAAGCUCCACAGAAGGUUGAUUCCAUCACAAAGAGGUUUAUGUUAGAUAUAACCAAUAAGUAACCCAGCACCCGUGCCAAACAAGGUUUUCCUCCUGGAAAGAUGCCCCUUACCUGGCAGAGGCCCUUCUAGACUGAAAGCCUCCUGGCUCUAAUUGAGCAUCUCCCCGUCCAUCAUGUCACCAGGCUUCUGGGUGCCUUGCAGCAUGGAUUAUAGAAGUCUCGAGGUAAGGCAUCUUCAGAGUAGAUGUCUGUAGAAGAGACAGCUAAAGAAAGGGGCUGGGUCAGGAGAGGAAAGCAAGUCUGAAAGGAAAUGAUUAGAGGGAAAGGAAAAAGAACAGUGCCUAGGAGGGAGGUUGUGGGAUGGUGGGGGUAGAAAGCCCAGAGGCUUCUCCAAAGUUUCAAACAAGUGUGGUGACCCCAGUACAGGGCUUUCCCUGAGUAGUCUGAGCUGAGUAGAGGGUGAGCUGUAGUGGGUAGAGAUGGACCCCAUCAGUGUUAGGGCCAGUUGGGACCAGAGGUGGAAAAGCUGCUGUGAAGGGCCUUGGAAAGCAACUCCAUGCUUCAUUGUUUCCCCAAGUGGCCCAAGUCAGGUGGGACCAUUAUCCCCCCCAAUGGAAGGAGGGAUCCUAUAGGAAGGCAGUAAUAAGACUGACUCCCUUCAGGAGGCAUAAAUUAAUCAGAGACGGAGCCUGAGGGCCUGGCCAUGAAGCAGGAAGACUGGGGCCAGGAGGUUAGGAAGAGGUUAGGGACCCAGCUUCAUCAUUAAAUGUGAGUAAGGAAGAGAGCUUUUUGUCUAAAUUCUUUGUACUAUGUGCCCCUAGGCAGCCAUUGCAAGGGGAAGGAUAUCCACCAUUAGAGAGACUUUGGGGCUCUAGGAGGACUGUCAGCUGACCUGUCCAGAGACCAUCGGCUCACAUUGGGAGCCGGUGUUGGUAUGCCCAAGGGCUAUAAUGGCAACUGGCUUGUGAGAGGCCCUCAAAUAUUGAAUGAGGGUGUUAAUAAAAUUCCAACAACUCACA